rnacentral:lncRNA from 1 species
CCUGAGGCUGAGCUGGCACCGGUUCUGAGGAGCUGAAGGAGCAUGUUCUUCUCCAGUGUGUCCAUGGGAAGCUCCUCCUACCUCCCUGCAUCCAAGGCCUGGCCUUUGCCCUGGGUGCUGUGCCUCGGGGGACGUGAGGGCUUCCAGGGAGUUUUAGAAGGAUGUGUUCUGGAGCCUCCGUGUUGACACCCCCUGGGAAUAGAAUCGCCCUGGGUUGAGGCAUCCUCCAGACCCGCCUUUCCUGCUGCAAAGCUCUCACCACCACCAAACCUCACAGGCGUGCAUCACCCAUGGUGGGUGUGAAACUCAUGGGGCCCGAAGCCAUGGUACGUGGCAAGGUCGCGGUGGAAAUCCACGUGGGAAGAGGAGCAGAAGAAUCCACCAGCAGAAGAAGAGCCCAGAGGGGCUUCCGAGGAGGGCGCGGGAGAAAAGGAGGGUGAACCCCCAGCCGCAUCGUAAGACAGAGUCCGCACCUUCAUAUUGUGUGGACAGGGAGAAAAGGAGGGUGAACCCCCAGCCGCGUCGUAAGACAGAAUCCGCACCUUCAUGUUGCACAGCGUGGGCUCAGCCUGAGGGGACUCUCCUCAGCACCCUUCAGGACCCACCGCACCUUCCACCUCCCAGGGUGCGCCCCCUUGAAACUCCGUGAGCCUCAGCGCCUGCUGUGCACGGUGGUGAGUCCAGAGCCCACUGCCUCGGGCUCCUGCCCAACCUCUGCCAGCAUCACGCUCCCCCAUCCUUCCCACCUGUGCAAUGCCAGCCCAGGUGGCAUCCGCACCCAUGGGCUAACAGGACAGGGCGCCCUGUGGCCAGACAGACCCUGGUGGGAAUUCUCAGCACCUGUAGCUGUUCCUACCCUCCUCGCCCACCUCUCCUGAAGUGAGUGACACUGAGCUGACCCACAUGUGGCUGCUCCUACCCUCCUCGCCCUCCUCUCCUAAAUUGAGUGACACUGAGAUGACCCACAUGUGGCUGCUCCUACCCUCCUCGCCCUCCUCUCCUGAAUUGAGUGACACUGAGCUGACCCACAUGUGGCUGUUCCUACCCUCCUCGCCCUCCUCUCCUGAAUUGAGUGACACUGAAUUCUAAAGUCUAAAGUCACUUGGCUUAUUUUACUUAUGCAGGUUAGAAUAAAGUAAUUCUCUUAAAUAUGAUGGUAUUAUUUAAAACUAUAAAGUGAGAUCAUAGUACAAGGUUCCUGCUCACAUGGUACUUUGAUACAAAUAUAACCUAUCAUAAUCCCAGCACUUUGGGAGGCCAAGACAGAGGGUUGCUUGAGCCCAGAGUUUGAGACCAGUCUGGGAAACAUGGCAAGACCCUAUCUCUACAAAUAAACAUAGCUGGGGGCGAAUGGUGGCACACACCUCUAGUCCCAGC